rnacentral:piRNA from 1 species
UGAGGAGGCUCAAACUGGACAACCAGUUUGGA